rnacentral:rRNA from 1 species
ACUCCUACGGGAGGCAGCAGUGGGGAAUAUUGCACAAUGGGGGAAACCCUGAUGCAGCCAUGCCGCGUGUGUGAAGAAGGCCUUGGGUUGUAAAGCACUUUCAGUAGGGAGGAAGGUAGUGUAGUUAACACCUCGCAUUAUUUGACGUUACCUACAGAAGAAGCACCGGCUAACUCCGUGCCAGCAGCCGCGGUAAUACGGAGGGUGCGAGCGUUAAUCGGAAUUACUGGGCGUAAAGCGCAUGCAGGCGGCCUGUUAAGUCAGAUGUGAAAGCCCGGGGCUUAACCUCGGAAGUUGCAUUUGAAACUGGCAGGCUAGAGUCUUGUAGAGGGGUUAGGAAUUUCAGGUGUAGCGGUGAAAUGCGUAGAGAUCUGAAGGAAUACCAGUGGCGAAGGCGGCCCCUGGACAAAGACUGACGCUCAGAUGCGAAAGCGUGGGAGCAAACAGGAUUAGAUACCCCGUGGUAGCACAGAG